rnacentral:rRNA from 1 species
CUUUACUGUAGCUUUGUAUUGGACUUUGAACGGAUCUGUGUAGGAUAGGUGGGAGGCUUUGAAGUGAGGGCGCUAGUUCUCAUGGAGCCAACGUUGAAAUACCACCCUGGUGCGUUUGAGGUUCUAACCUAGAUCCAUUAUCUGGAUCGGGGACAGUGCAUGGUAGGCAGUUUGACUGGGGCGGUCUCCUCCCAAAGCGUAACGGAGGAGUUCGAAGGUACGCUAGUUACGGUCGGACAUCGUGACGAUAGUGCAAUGGCAUAAGCGUGCUUAACUGCGAGACUGACAAGUCGAGCAGAUGCGAAAGCAGGACAUAGUGAUCCGGUGGUUCUGUAUGGAAGGGCCAUCGCUCAACGGAUAAAAGGUA